UUCGGCGGUCAUAGCGCAGCGGAACCACCUGUUCCCAUUCCGAACACAGAAGUGAAACGCUGUUGCGCCGAUGGUACUGCAGGGGAGACCCUGUGGGAGAGUAGGUCACCGCCGGAU
rnacentral:rRNA from 1 species